AGUAAAAAGGAAUCAUGAGAUGUCACACAUCAUGUGUCCUUAAGGGGUUAAAGUGUCUGCAGACACCUGAGCUGUAAAUCAUGGUCUCUCCCCUCCAACCCAAAUGAACUUCCCCUUUUUGUGUGAGGUUUUCUCUUCCUGUCUACUUCCCUGCUACUGUUUUAGUAAGGUUCUUUAUGUGCUCGGAACAGGUAACCUGGUGGGUUUGAACCCCAUGACAAGUUUACACCGUUGCAAAAAGUGCCAUGCUCCGUUUUCUUUUCCAAAACGUCUAAGCUGGAUCAAUCAUGUCAAAUGAAGAGUUUACAAAUGCAUUAAUG